rnacentral:rRNA from 1 species
UCGAAGGGUAUAUGGUGGAUGCCUUGACACACGAACGACGAUGAAGGACGUAGGAGCCUGCGAUAAGCCUCGGGGAGGUGGCAACCAACCUGUGAUCCGGGGAUAUCCGAAUGGGGAAACCCCCUGUCCGUUUGGACGGGAUCAUGCACUGAAUACAUAGGUGUAUGAAGAACACCUGGUGAAUUGAAACAUCUUAGUAGCC